GACGAACCGUGCGAACGUUGUUCGGAAUCACUGGGCUUAAAGGGCGCGUAGGCGGGCACGCAAGUCAGGGGUGAAAUCCUCCGGCUCAACCGGAGAACGGCUUUUGAUACUGCGUGCCUCGAGGGGGGUAGGGGCAUGUGGAACUUCCGGUGGAGCGGUGAAAUGCGUAGAUAUCGUAAGGAAGACCAGUGGCGAAGGCGGGUCUCUGGACAGUUCCUGACGCUGAGGCACGAAGGCCAGGGGAGCAAACGGG
rnacentral:rRNA from 1 species